CGUCAUAAUAGCAACUUAACAUCAAGAACUUGUGGCAUUUGGGAUUACAGCG
rnacentral:pre_miRNA from 1 species